rnacentral:rRNA from 1 species
CCUACGGGAGGCAGCAGUGGGGAAUCUUGCGCAAUGGGCGAAAGCCUGACGCAGCCAUGCCGCGUGAAUGAUGAAGGUCUUAGGAUUGUAAAAUUCUUUCACCGGGGACGAUAAUGACGGUACCCGGAGAAGAAGCCCCGGCUAACUUCGUGCCAGCAGCCGCGGUAAUACGAAGGGGGCUAGCGUUGCUCGGAAUUACUGGGCGUAAAGGGAGCGUAGGCGGAUAGUUUAGUCAGAGGUGAAAGCCCAGGGCUCAACCUUGGAAUUGCCUUUGAUACUGGCUAUCUUGAGUGUGGGAGAGGUAUGUGGAACUCCGAGUGUAGAGGUGAAAUUCGUAGAUAUUCGGAAGAACACCAGUGGCGAAGGCGACAUACUGGCCCAUUACUGACGCUGAGGCUCGAAAGCGUGGGGAGCAAACAGGAUUAGAUACCCUGGUAGUCCACGCUGUAAACGAUGAGUGCUAGUUGUCGGCAUGCAUGCAUGUCGGUGACGCGAGCUACGACAUAAGACGACUCCGCCGUCGGGGUAGGUACGGUCGGCGAAGUAAGUUAAACGUUAACGAAAGUAAGUUAGUUAGGCGUUGAGACGNGCCGACGGACGACGACGAGGGAGGAGG